rnacentral:rRNA from 1 species
UGUCAAAGCUAUACUACCUUGAAUAUUCCUGAUCCUCUCUGAUCUUACAAGUUAGGCAAGGUCAGAUUUGGUUAGUAUUUGCUUGGGAGAAAUUAAAAUUUUGAAUA